GAUGAACGCUGGCGGCGUGCCUAAUACAUGCAAGUCGAGCGAACGGACGAGAAGCUUGCUUCUCUGAUGUUAGCGGCGGACGGGUGAGUAACACGUGGAUAACCUACCUAUAAGACUGGGAUAACUUCGGGAAACCGGAGCUAAUACCGGAUGAUAUUUUGAACCGCAUGGUUCAAAAGUGAAAGACGGUCUUGCUGUCACUUAUAGAUGGAUCCGCGCUGCAUUAGCUAGUUGGUAAGGUAACGGCUUACCAAGGCAACGAUGCAUAGCCGACCUGAGAGGGUGAUCGGCCGCACUGGAACUGAGACACGGUCAAGACUACUACGGGAGGCAGCAGUAGGGAAUCUUCCGCAAUGGGCGAAAGCCUGACGGAGCAACGCCGCGUGAGUGAUGAAGGUCUUCGGAUCGUAAAACUCUGUUAUUAGGGAAGAACAUAUGUGUAAGUAACUGUGCACAUCUUGACGGUACCUAAUCAGAAAGCCACGGCUAACUACGUG
rnacentral:rRNA from 1 species